rnacentral:misc_RNA from 1 species
GCGGGGGGAAGGGAGGCCGUUGCUAUCGGCGAGUGGGGGAAAUUCGUCUUCGCUUUAUGCCCUCGGAGCGCGCGGGCGGCGGCAUCGUAGGCGCGGGCUGCGUCCUCGGCGGAGUCGUAGGUGCCGAGCCAGACACGGGUCUUGCGGACCGGAUCGCGGAUCUCGGCGGCGAAGCGGCCCCAGGGACGCUUGCGAACGCCGCGGAAGCGGGACUCGGCCGCUGAUCCGGCGGCGAGCGCCAACGCGGGGGACGCCGGAGGUGCCGCUCG